rnacentral:rRNA from 1 species
UGACUGCUAUCAGAUUGAUACUAAGCCAUGUUAGUCAUUGUAGUAAUACAAGGCAGACGGCUCAGUAACACGUAGUCAACCUAACUUAUGGACGGGGAUAACCUCGGGAAACUGAGAAUAAUAUCCGAUAGGUCAUGAUGCCUGGAAUGGUUUAUGGCUCAAAUAAUUUAUUGCCAUAGGAUGGGACUGCGGGCUAUCAGCUUGUUGGUGAGGUAAUGGCCCACCAAGGCUAUUACAGCUACGGGCUCUGAGAGGAGUAGCCCGGAGAUGGGUACUGAGACAAGGACCCAGGCCCUAUGGGGCGCAGCAGGCGAGAAAACUUUGCAAUGCGCGAAAGCUCGACAAGGUUAAUCUGAGUGGUUCCUGCUAAAGGAACCUUUUGUUAGUCGUAGAACCACUGAUGAAUAAGGGGUGGGCAAGUUCUGGUGUCAGCCGCCGCGGUAAAACCAGCACCUCAAGUGGUCAGGAUGAUUAUUGGGCCUAAAGCAUCCGUAGCCUGUUCUGUAAGUUUUCGGUUAAAUCUAUGCGCUCAACGUAUAGGCUGCCGAAAAUACUGCAGAACUAGGGAGUGGGAGAGGUAGACGGUACUCGGUAGGAAGGGGUAAAAUCCUUUGAUCUAUCGAUGACCACCUGUGGCGAAGGCGGUCUACCAGAACACGUUCGACGGUGAGGGAUGAAAGCUGGGGGAGCAAACCGGAUUAGAUACCCGGGUAGUCCCAGCUGUAAACUAUGCAAACUCAGUGAUGCAUUGGCUUGU